UACGAAGGGGGCUAGCGUUGCUCGGAAUCACUGGGCGUAAAGCGCACGUAGGCGGCUUUUUAAGUCAGGGGUGAAAUCCUGGAGCUCAACUCCAGAACUGCCUUUGAUACUGGGGAUCUUGAGUCCGGGAGAGGUGAGUGGAACUGCGAGUGUAGAGGUGAAAAUUCGUAGAUAUUCGCAAGAACACCAGUGGCGAAGGCGGCUCACUGGCCCGGUACUGACGCUGAGGUGCGAAAGCGUGGGGAGCAAACAGG
rnacentral:rRNA from 1 species